rnacentral:rRNA from 1 species
GCGGUAAUACCAGCCCCCUGAGUGGUAAGGACGAUUAUUUGGCCUAAAGCGUCCGUAGCCUGCUUAGUUAGUCUUUCGUUAAAAUUAACGAUUUAAUCGUUAGGUCGCGUAAGAUACUGCUAGGCUAGAGGAUGGGAGAGGUCGACGGUAGUCCUGGGGUAGGGGUGAAAUCCUAUAAUCCUAG